rnacentral:lncRNA from 1 species
AACGAAGCGUCAAAAGUGAAAAAAAAAAAAAAAAAAAACAACCCAACCUCAUGAGCUGUCAUCUAGAGAAAUCUAAAAAUAUCUAAACCUCAACAAACUAGCUCCAAGAGAAGACAAACUGACAGAAUUCUAAUCGGUUCAAUUUCUUCUCGCAAAACCACACAUCCAUUUUGAAAUUUGACUCAGUUACAAACUUUAUCUCCAUCCACGAUCGAUUUCCAAUUCGGUGAUUUCUUAACCAACAUCUCCAUUAACAAGGUACGCACUUGUCCCCAUUUUUAAACCUUCAGUUGCCAAACAAUGAGCAGAUUCGUUUGCUAGUCAUCUUGCAUGUUGAAACUUACAGCCAUUAAAACCCUCACUUAGAUUUUUAACAUCAGGAAUGUAAGGUCCUAUUACCGAUUUGCCCCUCUACGUAUUUUGGACUUUCUUGAUUAUCGUCAAACAAUCCCUUUCAAUCUCAGCAUGCGUGAUCCCCAAAUCUCUACCCACAGUAACUGCCUGCACGCAAGCGAUGGCCUCAUGAAUAUACUGUUUAAUGAACUUUACUGUCUCUGCUCUAGAUUUCUUUCUCCCCUUAUGAAUCCAUCGAUUUCUGCUAGUCCAGAUAGCCCAAAUAGCACAAACAAAUAUUCGACACACAUCCACCCUACUGUUUAGAAAAACCUAGGUAAACCAAUCCAUAAACUCAAGUUGUGACAUUUCUUGUGACCAGACAUAAUCUAUAUUUUCCCAUGUCUCUUUUGUAACAGAACAAUCACAAAAAAUGUGUUUCCUUUUUUCCAACCUUUGCAUAUAUCUUGGGCAAACAACCUCAGUAGUUAAUUUUUUUGCUCGAAGAUUCACUAGAGUAGGAAGAUAAUUGAAAGUAGUUUCCCAAGCUGUAAUUUUAUUUUAGAAGGAAGAUCUAGGUUCCAAAGUUUCCUGUAGCAGCUUGUAUUGUCAACGGGGUUGUAAUUAUUUGGGUUAUUGAAGUAACUUAUAGUCGCUACGCACCAUGAACUCACCCGUCGACUCGCCCCUCCACACCAUAAAAUCAUCAUGAGGAAAUUUUUCUACAGGAAUUUGUAAGAUCAUCCGUGCAUCACUAUCAGAAAAGGUACUAAGAACCAAUCCAAUUCUCCAUGAUCUAGUAUCACAGUCAGUUAGAUCCACAACUCUCGUUGUAACAGCCUGUUUUCAAUAAAAUCGGAACAGUAGUUUUAGGACCAUAAAUCUAAUGUGUAAAUAUUUGUUUUAUUAUUUUAAUGUCUAUAGCAUGUUAGUAUUACCGUAUAAAAAUUUCGUUAAGAAAUUUUACCGUUUGCAUGCUUAAUUCGAUAAAAAAGAUUUAAAUCGCAUAUAGUGCAAAAGUUGAGUUCUAGUAGCUAAAGGUAUUAAAUGGCUAUAGAACCUUAAAGUAUGAGUCCUUAUGUGGUAAUUAAACCAUAAAUGAAGUUAGUGGAUAUACAUGGCUUGGUAUUAGUAGAAAUUUUAAUGUUUUAAAAGGUUAUAAAAGUAAUUAGGUAAAUAAUGAUUAAUAAAAUAAAAUAAAAUAAGGUUAUCAUCUUUUUCCAUCAUCUUCAACCGAAAAUUAGGGCUAAGAAAGCCAUUGAAGAGCUUUAGCAUUCGAUCAUCUCUCCUUGCUUGUGUGGUAAGAUUUUUCGUCCCGAUUUUAAUGAUUUUUAUUUUUUCAAGAUCGUUGUAACUAAUUUGUAAAACUGUUAAAAGAGUAGAGUUUUGUCAUGAAUGAAUAAAGGUUGGUUUUGAUGUUUGAUGGAAGAAAAUGGAUAGUUGUUAGAUAAAAAAACUUUUGUUAUGUGAUUUUUUAUGAAAUUGUAAUUUAGGGAUUAAAUUGAAAAAUUGAAAAAUAUACAUGGUAAAAUAGUGAAAUAAAUAAAAUGUAGGGCUUUCUAGCGACCUAUAUGAAAUUUGACUAUGGUGGGUUAAUGAAAAAUUUCAUGAAUUUCAUUUUAUGAGCUAGGGACUAAAUUGAAAUAAAAUUAAAAUUAUAGGGGUAAAAAUAUAAUUUUGCUAAAAUAUGAUUUUGGAAUGAAUUGAAUAGAGUAAAUAUUAAAUUGAGUUGAAUUUAUUCGUUUAGAUCAAGACAAUCCUCGUAUGGCUAUAGAUCAAUGCAAAGAUAAAAUUUUGGAAUAAUCGCCCCCGUAUCUACGUUUAAUCGUUGAGGUAAGUUCGUAUAAUUAUAUUGCAUUUAUAUGUCUUAUGUUGAAAUAUAUAUAUGUACCAUGGACUGUUAUUUAUUAAUUUGUCGCAUAUCCAACAAUGUUACGUCGACUACCGAGCCCCGUUUGAACCUUAGGAAUUCGUAGGAUACAAAUGACAUGUUAUUAUGGUUUACAUGAUUCAAGUGUUGGUCUUGAAUGUCCUAUCGAUGGUUGAGGUCUGGCAUGUGUUGCGGAUACUCCAUAGCUCGUGAGCAGCAUCGUGUAGCUACAUUUCGACCUACAGCUCGUGUGAGCAGGCCUGUUUUCAUAGCUCGUGAAAGCGUACUUAUUUACAGCUCGUGUGAGCAUACAUGUAUAGGAGUUGACGGAUUACAGUUAUAUGAGUUAGCAAACUUUGUGUGUGAGCUAUCCCAGGUAUCCAACUAUAUUCUAAACGGUUCAAUAGGCAUGACCUGUAAGAAAUGGUAAGAGUUCGAUACGAACUAAGAUAUGAACAAGUGUGAAUUGUGUUGAAUUUGUGAUACAUGAAUUAACGAAAGUUGAGAUGGAUGAUAUUUGUAUUGUUACAUGAUUAAGUGUUCUGAUCAUCCAUAAGUAAAUUACUUAUGUUUUAUGCUUAUAUGGCUAACAUGUUUGGUGUAAAUGCUUAGGCUUUGGCCAAGUUGUGGUUGGAUUAUGCCAUGUUUAACUUAUUUAUCAUGUAAUGAAAUGGUAAGUUGAGUUUUACAUUAUACGAACUUACUAAGCAUUUAUGCUUACUCUGUGUUAUUAAUUUUUUUCAUGUUUCAAAGUGAAUCGGAAGCUUGUUCGAGUUGGAAGCUUGUCGGAGUUAUAUCACACUAUCCAUCGGCUAAAUCAGCAGAUUUUGGUGUUUUUAAGUUUGGUUAUAAUGGCAUGUACAAGAGUUUUUUUUUUAUAAUGUAGUCAUUUGUGUUGGCUUGUGUUUAUGGCAUUUUUUGUGAUGAAAUGGUACUAAUUUUGACAUGUAUAUAUUUGGCCUUAAAAUGGUUAAUAUCAUGGGUUGGGAUGCUUGAAUGAUUGAAGAUGGAAUGGUAGUUAAAAAUGUAUGUUAUAAAUGGUCUUAGGAUGUGUUUGAAUGUGGUGAUUUGGUAUAUUUGUUAUAGAUGACAUAUAUGGCUGGUGGUGCUAGAUGUUAAAUGGCAUAUUUGGCACUUUUGGUGUGAAUUUUGAUAGGUAAACAAAGUGGUAAGUUUUGACAUAAACUUAGUUAUAAGUUAGUUGAACUUUUGGCCAGAUUUUGCAAACGGUUAUACAUGUCUAACUGCUGUGAUUGAAAUGCCUUUUGGGCAUAUUGGUUGUAUGCUUAUGUACCUUAUUUGGAUAGCUUAAUUAUACAUGUUUUUAGUGAAAUUUGAUGGCUUUCUUAUAUGUGGAAAAUUGAAUGUAGGUAUAUGCAUGAAUGGGUGAAAAAAAUGACUUGGAAAUGACCUAUUUUUCGUCCAAACGGCUAAAGACACGGGCGUGUGCCUCAGCGGUGUGUGACACACGGCUAGGCGACAUGGCCAUGUGCCCCCUAUAGCUUACAAAAGGUUUCAAGUUAGGUUGUUACAUGACCUAGCACACGGCCUGGCACACGGGCGUGUGAGUCCAUUACGAAGGGUACACGGCUUGACACACAGGCGUGUGGCUUGGUCGUGUGACCCAAGUCAGAGAGUUACACGGGUUGGGACACGGCCAUGUGUCCCUACUUUGAAUGUCCACACAACCUGUGCGUGAGUCUCAACCAUGUGAGUCACAUGGCUGUGUGACCCCUGCAGUUUGAAAAUUUUCAUUUUUUUCUGAAAAAUUUUAUAUGUUUCCAAUUUAGUCUCGACUUCUUUCUUAUGUGUUUUUAGGGCCCCGAGGGCUUAUAUAAGGGACAGUAUGCAUGUUAUUGAUUGUUUUUGCUAUGAUUAAUGAUAUUAAUUAAAAUGUUUAAAAAAAUUUAUUACUUUGGAAUGAAAACUCCGGUAAUACUCUGUAAUGUUAUUUCGAUGAAGGAUACGAGUUAGGGGUGUUACACUCGUAAUAUUUGGCCUGCUAAUAGUUUGUGUUAUCUUGAUACCUUCAGCUUCUAGAACCCAAACAUCUUCCUCAAAUUUGAUGUCUCUGCCAAUCCUCACCCUCCAACAAAGUCUAAACAACAGAAGGCCUUUCGCAGCCCAUAUACUUUUCCAAGUAUAUGCAGGUAUAUUUCCUAACUCUAAAUGUAAGAAAUCAAAAUUUGGAUGAUAUUUAACUUUCAAAGUUCUGCCUAAAAGAGAAUUAGGAUUAACAAUUAAUCUCCAACCUUGCUUCGCAAGAAGGGCCAAAUUGAAUUUUGCUAAAUAACGAUAAUCGAGAUCGCCAUUCUCUUUCAACUCGCAAAGUUUCUUCCAUUCACACCAGUGAAUACCAUGCCUCCCAUGACCUUUUUACCACUAGAAGUUUGCCAUUAUUUGCUCCAUCUCCUCACAAAUCGAUUUCGGCAAUAAGAAGCAUGCCAUCGUAUAAGUCGGUAUCGCCUAUAGCACAACUUUUAUGAAAACCUCUUUUCGCCUUUGCGAUAGAAAAAAAGUACUCCAAUUGUCAAUAUUCAUUUUGAUACGGUCUUUUAAAUGUUGAAAAGCCAAACGUCUCCCUCUACCCACCAUAUUUGACAAGCCCAAAUAUUUUUCAGAAUUAUUUGAUCCUAUCAGAAAUGGAAAUUCGAACAUUGUCUAAAGUAUUUGAACUAAAAACCACUGUUUAUUUCCAUAAUUAACACAUUGACCUAAACAGACUUCGUACUCCUUCAAAAUAUUUUCAAAGGUUUCAGUACCCUUAUCAAUCGCCUCCCCGAACAAAAUACAAUCAUCAGCAAAAAGAAGAUAAGAAAUCUGAGGUCCCCUUCUACUCACCCUAACCCCUCUCAAAUUCCCUUCCUCGCUUGCAAGCCUUAUAAGGGUUGAAAGCCCCUCACUGCAAAUAAGGAACAGAAAGGGUCUUAAGCGAUCUCCUUGACGCAAACCCCUCUCUCGGAUAAAAUUCUUCCUCGCGAUACCGUUUAGAUUGAUCGAAUACGAAACAGUACUAAUACAUUGCAUGAUGAAGCCAACCCACGAAUCAGUAAAACCAAUUUUACUCAUCAUCUGUUUCAAAAUAUCUCAUUCAACCCGAUCAUACGCCUUGCUCAUAUCAAUCUUGAGUGCCAUAAGACUUUUAUUUCCCACUCUUUUAUUUCAUAAAGUAUGAAGAAUUUCAUAGGUAAGAACCGCAUUAUCAGUGAUUAAUAUUCCCGAAACAAAAGUACACUGAGCUGGAUUAAUACAAAGAUCAAGUACCUUUUGAAAUCUAUUUGCCACUACUUUAGAAAUGACUUUAUAUAACACUAUACAACGACUAAUUGGUCCAAAAUUCAUAAGAUUUCUCAGAUGUGCAGUCUUCAGGAUUAAACCAAUGUUUGUGUGAUUCAAAGAUUGUAAAGACAUACCCUCAUUAAGAAUAUUCAAACAAUAAUUGCUUACCUCCCUUCUAAUAACGUACCAAAAUUUUUGGAAAAACAUGGCUGAAAACCCAUCAGGACUUGAUGCUUUGGUCGGCUCUAUACUAUUAAGCGCAUUAAUAAUUCCUUCCUCCUUGUAUCUGGCUGUUAGCAUCUGGUUCAUACUAUCAUUGGUACGACACUUAACCUUUGAAAGAAGAUGAUUCGUAUCCCCAACACCUUGCAAUGAAAAGAGCCCCAAUAAGUAAUCUUUUGUAAUGGCCUUUAGUUCUUCAUCUUCUAUUUUUAAAACACCUUCGUCAUUCUCUAGCCCCCGGAUUUUAUUCAAUCUAUGUCUUUGAGAUGCUUGACUAUAAAAAAACGUCGUAUUUUUGUCCCUUAGUUGAGUGGGCUUAUAUAGAAUUGUUUGUUAAUCCAUGUCAGAAUGAGCUUGCUGGAUCGAGUGGUAAGGGAGUUAGUAUGUUAGAGGUCUUGUGUUCGAGUGCCUGUUCGAGUGUGGAUGUUAUUUUUGCUCGGUUGCAUGUUAGAGUUUCGGUGGAGUUGGCAUUAUAGGGUAGUUGAGAUUGAGUUGUUAGUGGAGAGUUGGGAUUUAUCAAAUAUAUUUUAUUUUUAUUUUUUAAAGAAAUUUUCUCUCUUUCGAAAAGUUUUUCUCCCUUAGUUGAGAUUGAAUUUUCUUUUCCUCUCUUUUUAGUUCACUGCCAAUUUUUUUUCUCUUCUUUUUCAAUUUCGUCACAUUAUCUUUUGCACAAUUCAUCGUGUCUCGAUAUUUUGGUGUUCUUUGUGUGUUUCUAGUAACUGUGGUAAGUGUGAUUAUUGUUUUGGUUAAUAAAUCUUUGGUUAAUGGGGUCUGUUUUGUGCUUAGGAGAAGAUCAAGGGGUUGGGGGCUUUCAAUCGGUGCUAUAGUUGUGCAAAAUCACUGUUGCUCAUUCGAAGGUAAGGGUUUUGGUGGAUUAAAAGAUUUUGCAUUUCAAUGUAGCUUCGUUUUAGUAUUGAUUUAAGUGAUUAAUUUAAUGAUUUAUUGGUCAAUUUUAGGUGGUGUGUGACUUUGGAGUGUUUUUACAUCGAAACCGUAACAGUUGUGUUCCUAAAACGUAAAAAAUUAAGUUUUGGCGAAAGCUGAAAAAUUAUUCUAUGGAUGCCACAAGGGCAUGUGCCUGGCAGUGUAGUUGGCCUUGUGCAAGACACUAUCGUGUGUUUGACGAAGGUGCCCUCAUGCUCAAGGUACGGUCGUGUGAUGGUGUGAGUGUAACCGUGUGGGCCACACAAGCUAGGCCAUAUUGGGCGUGUGGGCCCACACGAGCAUGCCACACGGACGUAUGAGUUUUGGGCCAGGCCAUAUGGGCCACACGAGUAAGCCCAAUCUGGGAGUGUGGGUCGUACGGAUCGCUCCGAUCGACUAUGGGCCUACCAUAGGGUCGGUAAAGGCUAACCAAACCUUAAGUUAUGUGAUCUGAUAUUCUGAUAGUCUAUCUUGAGUAGGACACCGUUAUGCAUGUCUGAUUAUUCUAUUAUAUAUAUGUUAUUUGUAUGCGACUUUCACCUAUAUUCUAGCAGCUUGACUGUAUUCUAUCUGUUGUGUGUCGUAAUGACACUAUAUAGUGUGUAGGGAUGGUGGGUGUUGUUAACCCCACAUGGUGUGAUGGGAUGGUCGGAGAUGGUGUGUAGAGGCUGGAGGUAGGAUUCUGUAUAUUUGAUUCUGUUAUCUGUAUCUGAAAUGGACUUAAGCCCGAAUUUGUAUUUGACUGUAUAUGAGAUUUCUGUAUGUAUUGCAUGAUAUUUCUGUUGGGCUACACACUGAGUUUGUGAAAAAUCACUACUAUUUGUUUGUUCUGUUCAGGUAAUCCACAGACUGAGGCGGAUCCGUGCGGCAGAGUCUCACGGUGACCACAAGUUUGCGAACUAUUUUUAAAUUAGUGGUUUUUGUUUAAUUAUGGAUUAUUUCUGGGAGUUUUGUAAUUAAGGGACUCUCCGGACUAUUUGGUUUUAUUUUGGAUUUGGAUUUUCGAAUUAAC